rnacentral:misc_RNA from 1 species
GAUGAAGAACGCAGCGAAAUGCGAUAAGUAGUGUGAAUUGCAGAAUUCAGUGAAUCAUCGAAUCUUUGAACGCACAUUGCGCCCCAUGGUAUUCCGUGGGGCAUGCCUGUUCGAGCGUCAUUUACCCCCUCAAGCUCAGCUUGGUGUUGGGGCCUGCUGCACUGGCAGCCCUUAAAAUCAGUGGCGGCGCCAUCUGGCUCUAAGCGUAGUAAUUCUUCUCGCUAUGGAGUCCUGGUGGAUGCUUGCCAUCAACCCCCAAUUUUUCUAUGGUUGACCUCGGAUCAGGUAGGGAUACCCGCUGAACUUAAGCAUAUCAAUAAGCGGAGGA